UACGUAGGGGGCAAGCGUUGUCCGGAAUCAUUGGGCGUAAAGGGCGCGCAGGCGGCUACGCACGUCCGUUGUGAAAUCGCUCGGCUCAACUGGGCGGGGUCAGCGGAUACGGCGUAGCUGGAGCAAGCUAGGGGGCAAUGGAAUUCCCGGUGUAGUGGUGGAAUGCGUAGAUAUCGGGAGGAACACCAGUGGCGAAGGCGGUUGCCUGGAGCUUUGCUGACGCUGAGGCGCGAAAGCGUGGGGAGCGAACAGG
rnacentral:rRNA from 1 species